rnacentral:rRNA from 1 species
AUUGAACGCUGGCGGCAGGCUUAACACAUGCAAGUCGAGCGGAGAUGAGGUGCUUGCACCUUAUCUUAGCGGCGGACGGGUGAGUAAUGCUUAGGAAUCUGCCUAUUAGUGGGGGACAACAUUCCGAAAGGAAUGCUAAUACCGCAUACGCCCUACGGGGGAAAGCAGGGGAUCUUCGGACCUUGCGCUAAUAGAUGAGCCUAAGUCGGAUUAGCUAGUUGGUGGGGUAAAGGCCUACCAAGGCGACGAUCUGUAGCGGGUCGGAGAGGAUGGUCCGCCACACUGGGAGUGAGACACGGCCCAGACUCCUACGGGGGGCAGCAGUGGGGAAUAUUGGACAAUGGGGGGAACCCUGAUCCAGCCAUGCCGCGUGUGUGAAGAAGGCCUUAUGGUUGUAAAGCACUUUAAGCGAGGAGGAGGCUACUGAGACUAAUACUCUUGGAUAGUGGACGUUACUCGCAGAAUAAGCACCGGCUAACUCUGUGCCAGCCGCCGCGGUAACAC